ensembl:lncRNA
CAGGGAUGGCACCAGGAGCUGCAGCAGCAGCAGAUUUCUCUCCCUUUUAGCUCCUCACUCUGGAAAAAAAGCUAAAGGAGACCUGGAAUCCCAAAAUUAAGGAGGCAGCUGAGGCUGGAGAGCUCGUGGAGUGAGGAGCAAAACUCCUGGAAGCUUCUGGAAGCAAACCCUGCACACAGCCAGUUGAGUUUGCACUCAGUGUACCAUUUUUAUUUGAUAUAGAUAGAUAUUUUUUAUAUAUUACAUCAUUUAAAAACAGAUUAUAUGUAAAAACACACACUUUUGGUUUGGUUUUCUUGCUUGUUUUUUGCAGGUCAAAGCCACCCCAGCGUGUCCCACACAGUGCAAAGGGACAACUUGUGCAUUUCCCCCUCUUGUCCCCCUGGAAAAACAACUUUUGUGUCCUUGUCCCACCCUUCCAGAGCCACCACCAAGUGUCCCUUAGAGCCCUGGGGACAGCUGGAGCCUGGGGAGGGGACAGAGAGCAGGGACAGGCUCCUGCAUCCAGGAUUUAUCCAGGAAAAAUUCAUUCAGGAGGGAGAGGGUGGGAUCAAACACAGCCCUCAAAUCGGCUCAGUUGGAGUAAAAAGAGGCUCAAAAGGUGUAAAAAGAGGCUCAGGAGGAGAAAAAAAUAAAACUCCUUUGGGUUCUCAGCCUUUUCCCAUGCACCACCCUAAACUCUGGGAUGAAUUCUCCGGGAUGAAUUGUUCCUGGAUAAAUUCUCCUGGAUGGAUCCUCCUGGAUAAAUCCUCCUGGGGGAAUUCCUCCUGUGGCACAGUCCCAGUUCAGCCCUCCCAGUCCCAGUUCAGCAUUCCCAGUUCAGCAUUCCCAGUCCCAGUUCAUCAUUCCCAGUCCCAGUUCAAUCCCAGUUCAG